GUCUACAGCCAUGCUACCCUGAACAAGCCCGAUGCUGUCUGAUCUCAGAAGCUAAGCAGGGUUGGGCCUGGUUAGUACUUGAAUGGGAGACCACCUAGGAAGACCAGGUGCUGUAGGCA
rnacentral:rRNA from 1 species